UUGCUAUGAUGAUAACGUCUAUGAGAUUUUUUUGAGAGUUUAAAGCUUCGUGAAACGUCGACGUUAAUGUCGAUCUGAGCGGUUAGCUGAGCAA